AGUGAACGCUGGCGGUAGGCCUAACACAUGCAAGUCGAACGGCAGCACAGUAAGAGCUUGCUCUUACGGGUGGCGAGUGGCGGACGGGUGAGGAAUACAUCGGAAUCUACUUUUUCGUGGGGGAUAACGUAGGGAAACUUACGCUAAUACCGCAUACGACCUACGGGUGAAAGCAGGGGAUCUUCGGACCUUGCGCGAUUGGAUGAGCCGAUGUCGGAUUAGCUAGUUGGCGGGGUAAAGGCCCACCAAGGCGACGAUCCGUAGCUGGUCUGAGAGGAUGAUCAGCCACACUGGAACUGAGACACGGUCCAGACUCCUACGGGAGGCAGCAGUGGGGAAUAUUGGACAAUGGGCGCAAGCCUGAUCCAGCCAUACCGCGUGGGUGAAGAAGGCCUUCGGGUUGUAAAGCCCUUUUGUUGGGAAAGAAAAGCAGCAGGUUAAUACCCCGCUGUUCUGACGGUACCCAAAGAACAAGCACCGGCUAACUUCGUG
rnacentral:rRNA from 1 species